ACCGGGCGUGGUGUCAGGUGCCUGUAGUCCCCGCUACUCGGGACGCUGAGGCUGGAGGAUCCCUGGAGCCCAGGAGUUCUGGGCUGUAGUGCGCUAUGCCGAUCAGGUGUCCACACUAAGUUUGGCAUCAGUAUGGUGACCUCCUGGGAGCGGGGACCACCAGGUCGCCUAAGGAGGGGUGAACCGGCCCAGGUCGGAAACGGAGCAGGUCAGAACUCCCGUGCUCAUCAGCAGUGGGAUCGCGCCUGUGAAUAGCCACUGCACUCCAGCCUGGGCAACAUGGCAAGACCCCAUCUCU
rnacentral:SRP_RNA from 1 species